rnacentral:rRNA from 1 species
UACGUAGGUGGCAAGCGUUAUCCGGAAUUAUUGGGCGUAAAGAGCUCGUAGGCGGCUUGUCGCGUCGGAUGUGAAAGCCCGGGGCUUAACCCCGGGUUGGCAUUCGAUACGGGCAGGCUGGAGUUCGGUAGGGGAGAUCGGAAUUCCUGGUGUAGCGGUGAAAUGCGCAGAUAUCAGGAGGAACACCGGUGGCGAAGGCGGAUCUCUGGGCCGAUACUGACGCUGAGGAGCGAAAGCAUGGGGAGCGAACAGG